rnacentral:rRNA from 1 species
GGGUACUUGUACCUGGUGGCGAGCGGCGGACGGGUGAGUAAUGCCUAGGAAUCUGCCUGGUAGUGGGGGAUAACGCUCGGAAACGGACGCUAAUACCGCAUACGUCCUACGGGAGAAAGCAGGGGACCUUCGGGCCUUGCGCUAUCAGAUGAGCCUAGGUCGGAUUAGCUAGUUGGUGAGGUAAUGGCUCACCAAGGCGACGAUCCGUAACUGGUCUGAGAGGAUGAUCAGUCACACUGGAACUGAGACACGGUCCAGACUCCUACGGGAGGCAGCAGUGGGGAAUAUUGGACAAUGGGCGAAAGCCUGAUCCAGCCAUGCCGCGUGUGUGAAGAAGGUCUUCGGAUUGUAAAGCACUUUAAGUUGGGAGGAAGGGCAGUUACCUAAUACGUGAUUGUUUUGACGUUACCGACAGAAUAAGCACCGGCUAACUCUGUGCCAGCAGCCGCGGUAAUAUAGAGGGUGCAAGCGUUAAUCGGAAUUACUGGGCGUAAAGCGCGCGUAGGUG